UUCAUUACCUCCGCGUAUAAAAAUGACUGCUGGCGAAUGCAAAUGGCUCGCCCGUCUCAGCCGCCUGCCUCCGCUCUGCCGCCGGCUGCGGGCGGAGGCCCCGGGAGCCGCCGCCGCCCGACCUGACGAACGGCCCGCGGCGGGGCCGGCUCCUCCUCCCGCGCCCCCGCGCCCCCGCGCCGCCGGGACCCGGGACCCCCGCCCGACGCCGGCUCCUCCUCCCGCGCCCCCGCGCCGCCGGGACCCGGGACCCCCGCCCGACGCCGGCUCCGAGGGCCGCGGGGGAGGCCGUUUGGGAAGAGAAACGGGGGCGGGGGCGGCCGAGAACUGCAGAUCUGCUAAGAUGUGCUCGUGCUUGGGAAACCACCUAACUUUAUGAUUGAAAUUAAUGUUUCCAUUCGACUGCAAAUGCUGGAGCUCAACACACAUGGCAGCAGAGUGAACACAAGCCCCUUCGGCUUCUUCAGCCAGGGAAACGCCGGUUCAUCAAGGCAAACUUGUGAAUGGCGUCUUCUACGGAGUACUUCGUCUGCCCAGAAACGCAAGCCUCGAUGUCCUCCGAAUUCAGAUGGCUCUGCAGGAAGAGGUGGAGACAGCUAUCUGAGAGCAGGAGUGCGUUCUGGAGGACCCUGUGUGAGAGGAAAAGGGAGAAAUGAUCAGUGGUUGGGGAUGGACAAUUAGAGGGUGAGGAGAGAGCAACACGUUAGAAGGGGGGCCACCAAAGUCCUCUCUCCACUGGGCAAACUUUGCAUCAAUGAAAGACUUUACCUAUUGAAAGGAUCAAAGCAUAUGUUAACUUUUUAUUCAAUUAUUUGGAAAUUUAGGUGAGUAAAAACAUGGAGCUAAUAGUUAAGAACAUCUGUUAAAAGAAUAACUUCAAGGACAUUUCUUCAAUUUAACCAUCUGUUAUGACCAUGUGGAUUAAUUAUGGAAAGAUUUUGCUUAUGGUCAUAGAAAUGUGUGCUACUCAAAAAAAUUUUUUUACUGCCAACCAGCAGGUCGAUUCUGUGAUCUUUUUGGCAAACUGUCAUGAAACAUCAAAACUUUCAACGACUAUUAAAAAUUGUAUUAAAAAGCCAAUAUGUCUCUCAGCAUGUUUUACAUUUUAAAACUUUACAAGUGUGCUUAUGUACAUGUUUACAAGGGCUGGGUUGAGAGCUGGCUUUUUUGGAAAACCUAAGAUGGACUAGAAAUCUCUCCAUAAUCUUCCAUGGCACUGUGUUUCUAGUUGUUAAAAUAAGCCACCAAAUAAAAUUACUCCAAUGAUUUUACCAUAUAUACACUUAAAAUACGAUAAUUUUGUGCUAAGUACAUUCUAGCCUUCCUACAUUCAAGGUCAAAGUUUACAAAGACAGUACAGAUUUCAACCAGGGCAUCAGAACUACAUGGAAAACUAAAAAACAACUCCAACAAUUCUGUACCUGCUCAAAUUCAUAUUAUCACCGAAUGUUUUUUUUUUUUUUUUUCUGAAAUGCAUGUUUCAGAACAGGAAAUUAAGCCAAAGUACACCCUUAUUUUUAAAUAAAAACUGGUUUUACCUUUUUAGGAAAGAU